AGCCAACGCCCACAGCGAGCAGGAGGACUCUCCCUCUCGGCUUCCCUGACUCCCACGCCUUCAGAAGGCUCCGCACAACAAGACCGCAUGUUGCUCUGUCGAGCGCCUCCGGUCAAGCGAGCAGGACUGGGGUCUGCGACCAGGAGCUGGGUUCCGUCCAGGUCGCAAUUCAGGUUCUGCAGGGCGUGUCAUCAGAGACAUCACUUCUUCAAGGGCCCUUCCCUGCAUUCAGACACGCCCACAUGCCCCUCUGGGCUGCUGACUGCCCACCCUCCUGGCCCUUGCCAUGCAUGAGUACACAGAUCUCCACCAGAGCCCUCCCCAUGCUCUCUGGCAAUGUCACCAGGGUCCCAGCUCUGAGGAGAGAAGAGCUGAGCUCAGGCCUCUUUUUCUCACCAGUUCCCUGUCCUGCUGAGGCCACGGCACCUCCCAGGAGCUGCCCAACAUCCCAACCUGCACAGGGAGGGUCACGCCAGAUAUUCCUCCCUAAGGACAUCCCCAGGGAUACAUGGAUGACACCUCCAGCUCCUGGCGGCUGGUGUCACGUGUGUGUGUCGCACGGACUCAGAGACGGAAGAAUGCCAACCAGGCUUGGCAUGGAGCGUGGACCACCACGCAGGAAGAGAACAAAGAGCAUUUUCCUGACCAAUACUUACACACUGGCAGCUUGGGGAUCAAGUGAUGAAGCCCCAUGUGCAGCAGUAACGGCAAUCUGAGCCACUCUGAUUACGGUGACCAUCAUGCACUGGCAUCUCCAAGAUUCAUCUGUUUUCCGAGUAGGCCAAAUGAGUGACUUCAACAAGGGUAUGUGGAGAUCACCACCCCGACAUCUUCCAAGUCCUUGGUGGCGACACCGGUUUCUGUACUCUCUCCUGGAAGGCGUUACUGCUUUCAGUGUGUACUUUAGAUGGAAUCCUAGAGGCUUGUGCUCGAGCUACCAUACAGCACGAAUUCCUUGCCGGCACAGUCCCCUGUGGCUAGCGAGGAGGAAGGCAGGAGCUCUGCGUUCCUCCAGGGCAGCUCGGCCUUGGGCCCUGACACCGAGGGAGCGGCAGUGCGGGCACUUGGUCGGGGGACCGCUCCUGGUACCGAAACCCAGUCCUUGUCCCUGAGGUCAAAUCACAAAAGACAGUGACAAGGUUUUGAGGAAAGGAAAGAAUAGUUUAUUGAUUUGCUAGCAAACGAGGGAGCGGCAGGCUCCUGCCUUGCAGAACCACCGUCCUCCGGACACACAAGCGGUCAGGGCUUUUCGAGGGGAAAUCGUGGGAGAGGGGCUGGGGUGCAGACACAUGAAGCAGCAGCUUGCAAGGGUCCAAGCAGACAUUCCUGCGCCGAUUCACUAGCUUUGUGUUUUUCUUUUCUGCUCCUCCUCAGUCCCCUGGGACAGGAUGCUUUUUUGAGUCCCCUGUUUAGUGAACUUUACUGGCCUUAAUUGUCUCUCAUCCCGCUCAUAUCUAUUUUUCUGCCUAACACUCCCAAGACUGACCAGCCUCUCGGUAAACAUCCCAUAGACAUGCAAACAGGCACUUCAGGUCUACAAUGGGUGACACCCGGGCAAGGAUCCUGGCUGUAAUUUCCAUUUUCUCCACACCAUCCUGGUCCUUUUAACAAAAAGAGAGAGGUCCUGGUUCAGCCCUGAGUAAACAUAGCUACUUGACUGGUGGUGGGAGGAAGAAUUUCUUCAGUUCCUCGAGGUUCCCUUAGCUGGUCUAAGAAACAAAUUGACAUGAGACAGAUUAACAGGAGAAAAAGUAACAAAAUUUAAUUAAGUACAUAAAGGGAAGCCAUAGACGCGUGUUCCACAGACAGGGUGUGGAAUUGCAAUAUUUCCAGAAUCUCUUGACCUGGCUUUAGUGCUUCUCCGUAUCAACAGGUGUUUCCAAGGGGUGGAGAGAAGUAGUCCGUCUCCACGUCAGUGGGUAAUUACGUGGGCGAGGGAGGGUUUAUCUGGACCAGAGAGCUUGGUGGGAGUAUUGGCUCUCUUCUACUGCAGCAGGAGAGAGAGAUGCAGGGCGACUGCUGGUAGGCAAUAAAUGACCUUUAAACAUUA